AUUGAACGCUGGCGACAGGCCUAACACAUGCAAGUCGAACGAGUGGCGGACGGGUGAGGAAUGUCUGGGAAACUGCCAGAUGGAGGGGGAUAACUACUGGAAACGGUAGCUAAUACCGCAUACCAUCAAAUGUGCCCAGAUGGGAUUAGCUUGUUGGGGGGGUAACGGCUCACCAAGGCAACUAUCCCUAGCUGGUCUGAGAGGAUGACCAGCCAAACUGGAACUGAGACACGGUCCAGACUCCUACGGGAGGCAGCAGUGGGGAAUAUUGCACAAGUGGCGAAAGCCUGAUGCAGCCAUGCAGCGUGUAUGAAGAAGGCCUUCGGGUUGUAAAGGACUUUCAGCGGGGAGGCGUUACCCGCAGAAGAAGCACCGACUAACUCCGUGCCAGCAGCGGCGGUAAUAC
rnacentral:rRNA from 1 species